rnacentral:rRNA from 1 species
AUUGAACGCUGGCGGCAGGCCUAACACAUGCAAGUCGAACGAGUGGCGGACGGGUGAGUAAUGUCUGGGAAACUGCCCGAUGGAGGGGGAUAACUACUGGAAACGGUAGCUAAUCCCGCAUACCAUCGGAUGUGCCCAGAGGGGAUUAGCUAGUAGGUGGGGUAACGGCUCACCUCGGCGACGAUCCCUAGCUGGUCUGAGAGGAUGACCCGCCACACUGGAACUGAGAGACGGCCCAAACUCCUACUGGAGACAGCGGUGGGGAAUAUUGCACAACGGGGGAAACCCUGAUGCAGCAGCGCCGCGGGCGGGAAGACGGCCUUCGGGUUGUAAACCGCUUUCAGCCAUGACGCGGUAGUGGCAGAAGAAGCACCGGCUAACUACGUGCCAGCCGCCGCGGUAAUAC